UGGUUGGUAGGGCAAUGUACCUAUAACCUAUAACAUUUGUUUGUUUGUUUGCGGACCGCCAUAAUACCAAAGAAGAAGAAGAAGAAGAAAAAGAAGAAGAAGAAUGAGGAGGAGAAGGAGAAGCGGUGCGCCGAUGAGAGCUUUGUUCUGAAGGCCUUGUGUGGUUGAGCCCAUGUGCUGGACUGGCGAACUUCACUGAUAGUGGUGGUUCAAGGAACUGACUGUCUCGUGGUUACUAGCCCUCUCCACACCGCCACCACAGAAGAGAAAAUGAGAUAGAGCAUCUACAGACAGCCCAACACACAGAGAAGGAGGAGGAGGAAAAGGAGCCUGUGACUGGUGAAGAUGGAGGCCUCUGUUAAGUGCAGUGCUUGAAAGCAUGUCUGGCCUCAUUAACUGUCAGUUGUAACAAUACUGAACUGGCAGCGAAGACUGCUCUGAGUCUAGCAACCAUAAAUCACAGCCUGACAGCCCUCUGACAGGCUGGGAACCAGCACACAAGCAAGCCCUGCUCCUGCUCUCUCUCUCUCUCUCUCACACACACAAUUACAGCCCAACACACACUCAGACAGACACACACACUUACAUGCCCACUGCUGCACUUUCUUACCUUCCUGAACAGGAGAGACUGAUAAGCGGGUUUAGAUUGGAAAUGUCUGAAUUAUCUCUAGAGCUUUGUAUCGUGUGUGUCUCUGCACUUGUGUGUGUGUCUCUGCGUGUGCACGUGCAUGUGUUUUGUGUGCAUGCGUAGUACCUAGUAACCCUCAGUCUAUUGCUGUGGCCUAGUGGGGGUCACUCCAGUGUCAAUCUGCCGGUGUCCACUAGGUUGACGUGUGACUGUGAGUGUGACAAGGCUGGAAAGGAAGGAAGCAGGAGAAACAAGGCCUGUGGGUCAUUAAUCACAGGGCCCUGACACACACAUACCAGGACGCCAGGAGUACGAGCAGACACACACACACACAUGGGUGCAGGCAUUCGCGCACACACAUACACACCCUCAGACAGAGGAGAAGGCCAUGGCACCAUGAGUGAGUGAGCUCACAGCUGGGCCAGACUCCACUCAACUCACACGACAUGCUGACUUACCACUCAUACUCAUACUCUGCAUUCCUCUCCCUCAGCCUUCAUCUCUCUCCAUCUGACAUCCACCUGCUACCUCCCCCAUUUUUUAUACAAAUCACCAUCGCCUCACAAUGGCGAAGGUACCUGACACAAAGUUAGGGAGAAAGGGAAUAGGUCAAUAUAUUAUUUUCAGCUUUUGAAAAAUGAUGUUCUACCUUUCCCCUGUCCUCCUUUUCAGUGCCAUUCGUUAUCAUUACUGUCUGUGUUCCAGGUCUUGGAUAUCCUCUCUCUCCUCUCUGCUGCUCUCUCUGUCCCCCCUCUCUCUUGCUCCAGCACCACAUUCAUCUCCUCGUUCCUGAGAUCUCCAUUUAAUGUCUUCCUCAUGGGUGUCCGCCUGCUUUUACUUCAUCUGGAGAUUUAUGAGAGGGCUCAGUGUGUGCGAACAGUAUAUGUGUAGUACAGAGUGUGUGUGUCUGGGGGCGGGGUAAAAUGGUCCUAUGAAUGUGCUUGACUAUAUUUGUGGUACAUAGACACAGUGUGUGUCUGGUGCAGUGGGGGUAUGGGAAAGGCUUUGAAGACUUCAGAGACGCAGUGGAAGAAUCAGAAAUUUGCAGAUACACUGAACAAACAUAUAAACACAACAUGUAAAGUGUUGGUCCCAUUUUUCAUGAGCUGAAAUAAAAG